GACAUAGGUGGCGAACGUUAUCCGGAAUUACUGGGCGUAAAGCGUGCGCAGGCGGUUGUGCAAGACCGAUGUGAAAUCCCCGGGCUUAACCUGGGAAUGGCAUUGGUGACUGCACGGCUAGAGUGUGUCAGAGGGGGGUAGAAUUCCACGUGUAGCAGUGAAAUGCGUAGAGAUGUGGAGGAAUACCGAUGGCGAAGGCAGCCCCCUGGGAUAACACUGACGCUCAUGCACGAAAGCGUGGGGAGCAAACAGG
rnacentral:rRNA from 1 species